AGGAAAACUAGGAGAAAAGAAAGAAACAAACAUUUUUACUCCUUCAAUCACUUGAAGGUUGAGGUUACUACAAGUUACUAAACUAAUCCAUCACUUGGCUAAAUUAACUUAUGUUUAAAUUAUCUUACAAUGGAUUAUCUGGUAUGAAAAAGAAAGUGAAUCUCCAACAUUUUAUUCCCUGAUAAAGUCUUGUUGGAUGGCAGACGAAACAUCGGAAAUAUACAAGGCUUAUACCAAAUAUAUACGCCUCCGAAUCUAUAACGUACCGGAGAGUUCUUCACUAUUGCCAAAAGUUCAAUCUAGCACAGGUUACAGUUGCUAUGUAAUCACACAGGUAAUCUACAAGAUUUAAGAAGAAGAUUGAGGCGAUAUAAUACACUUUGAGGGAUCCUGUACUUCUUCUUACUUUUAUUUAGGCAUAUUAAGCUAAAAACGUCCUAUACUGCCUAUCGGAGUUCGGACUCUGCUUCCAUUAUCGAGAUAGUUUAUAUAUAACUGCUCGAGUUGAAAAAAAAAACUUUAUAGUAAAUGAAAAACUAAAACCUCAAUUAGGGAGAUCCCCCUAUGUGCGUAAAAUAGAAAUCAAGUGUUUAAAAUCUAACUGGGGAGUUUAAUACUUAAUGGUAACCGCUAGAGCCUAACACUUAAUCGUAACCGCCAGAGCCGAAUACUUUAUCGUAACUCCUAGUGCCUAAUACUUAAUCGCAACGGCUAGAGCCUAAUACUUAAUCGCAACGGCUAGAGCCUAAUACUUAAUCGCAACUCCUAGUGCUUAAUACUUAAUCGUAACCGCCAGAGUCUAACACUUAAUCGUAACCGCCAGAGUCUUAACACUUAAUCGUAACCGCCAGAGUCUUAACACUUAAUCGUAACCGCCAGAGUCUAACACUUAAUCGUAACCGCCAGAGUCUAACACUUAAUCGUAACCGCCAGAGUCUAACACUUAAUCGUAACCGCCAGAGUCUAACACUUAAUCGUAACCGCCAGAGUCUAACACUUAAUCGUAACCGCCAGAGUCUAACACUUAAUCGUAACCGCCAUAGCCUAAUACUUUAUCGUAACUCCUACAGCCCAAUAUUUAAUCGUAACGGUUAGAGCCUAUUCUAUUACUUAAUGGUGACUACCAGAGCCUAAUAUUUAAUAAUUUUCACCAAAACUGCUGGCCAAUCAUGACACAGAAUUGCGAUGACGACAUAUAGCGCAAAAUAAACACAGUGAAACAUAAAUACGGUUCACGUAAAAUGCGACUUCAGAACAUAAUUUUACUCACUUUGAAGAUAAUAGUUAGUUUAAAGGAGCAUAUAUGUUAUUACUUACAAAGUUUUUGCGUCCAAUUACCAUUGCACUUAACACCAAACAUAAUGAGUGGGAAAAAUGAAGUAUAAACAUGGUAAAUAAACAAGGGAAAACGAUCACACAAAUUAAAAUUUUAAAACAGAACAACAAAAUUAACAUAAAGGUAAAACAAUCUCUUUACAGCCGUUUUAAAAACAAGAAA